UGGGGGAUAUUGCACAAUGGGCGAAAGCCUGAUGCAGCGACGCCGCGUGGGGGAUGAAGGCCUUCGGGUUGUAAACUUCUUUUGCUCUGAACAAGGCAUGCUAAUGGGUGUGUUGAGUGUAGGGGUUGAUUAGCGCCGGCUAACUACGUGCCAGCAGCCGCGGUAAUACGUAGGGCGCGAGCGUUGUCCGGAAUUAUUGGGCGUAAAGGGCUUGUAGGUGGCUGGUUGCGUCUGUCGUGAAAGCUCAUGGCUUAACUGUGGGUUUGUGGUGGGUAAGGGGUGGCUUGAGUGCAGUAGGGGGGGCUGGAAUUCCUGGUGUAGCGGUGGAAUGCGCAGAUAUCAGGAGGGAUACCGGUGGCGAAGGCGGGGCUCUGGGCUGUUACUGACACUGAGGAGCGAAAGCAUGGGGAGCGAACAGG
rnacentral:rRNA from 1 species